GUCCCCGUAGCUCAAUUGGAUAGAGCGUUGGUCUCCGAAGCCAAAGGUUGUUGGUUCAAAUCCAAUCGGGGAUA
rnacentral:tRNA from 1 species